rnacentral:rRNA from 1 species
GUUAUAUGGUCAAGCGAAUAAGCGCACACGGUGGAUGCCUUGGCGGUCAGAGGCGAUGAAGGACGUGGCAGCCUGCGAAAAGUAUCGGGGAGCUGGCAACAAGCUUUGAUCCGGUAAUGUCCGAAUGGGGAAACCCACCCGCUUGCGGGUAUCCUGCAGUGAAUACAUAGCUGCUGGAAGCGAACCUGGUGAACUGAAAUAUCUAAGUAACCAGAGGAAAAGAAAUCAACCGAGAUUCCGUAAGUAGCGACGAGCGAACGCGGACUAGCCCUUAAGCUGAUUUGGUUCUAGGAAAACGCUCUGGAAAGAGCGGCCAUAGAAGGUGAUAGCCCUGUAUCUGAAAGGGCCAUUUCAGUGAAGACGAGUAGGGCGGGGCACGUGAAACCCUGUCUGAACAUGGGGGGACCAUCCUCCAAGGCUAAAUACUACUGACCGACCGAUAGUGAACCAGUACCGUGAGGGAAAGGCGAAAAGAACCCCGGAGAGGGGAGUGAAAUAGAACCUGAAACCGUGUGCGUACAAGCAGUAGGAGCUCCGCAAGGAGUGACUGCGUACCUUUUGUAUAAUGGGUCAGCGACUUACUGUUCGUGGCAAGCUUAACCGUAUAGGGGAGGCGAAGGGAAACCGAGUCUGAUAAGGGCGCAUAGUCGCGGGCAGUAGACCCGAAACCGGGUGAUCUAGUCAUGCCCAGGGUGAAGGUGCGGUAACACGCACUGGAGGCCCGAACCCACUCCCGUUGCAAAGGUAGGGGAUGAGGUGUGAUUAGGAGUGAAAAGCUAAUCGAACCCGGAGAUAGCUGGUUCUCCUCGAAAGCUAUUUAGGUAGCGCCUCAUAUGUAUCCUCUCGGGGGUAGAGCACUGUUAUGGCUAGGGGGUCAUCGCGACUUACCAAACCAUUGCAAACUCCGAAUACCGAGACGGACUGUAUGGGAGACACACGGCGGGUGCUAACGUCCGUCGUGAAAAGGGAAACAACCCAGACCCACAGCUAAGGUCCCAAAUUCACUGCUAAGUGGAAAACCAUGUGGAAAGGCACAGACAGCCAGGAGGUUGGCUUAGAAGCAGCCACCCUUUAAAGAAAGCGUAAUAGCUCACUGGUCGAGUCGGUCUGCGGGGAAGAUUUAACGGGGCUAAGCAGUGAACCGAAGCUUGGGGUGCAUAACUUUGUUAUGCGCGGUAGAGGAGCGUUCCGUAAGCCGUUGAAGGUGGAUUGAGAAGUCUGCUGGAGGUAUCGGAAGUGCGAAUGCUGACAUGAGUAACGAUAAUGCGGGUGAAAAACCCGCACGCCGAAAGCCCAAGGUUUCCUUGCGCAACGUUAAUCGGCGCAGGGUGAGUCGGCCCCUAAGGCGAGGACGAAAGUCGUAGUCGAUGGGAAGCAGGUUAAUAUUCCUGCACCUCGCGUAAGUGCGAUGGAGGGACGGAGAAGGUUAGGUGUACCAGGCGUUGGUUGUCCUGGGGAAAGGCGGUAGGUUUGGAUCUUUGGCAAAUCCGGGAUCCUUCAAGACCGAGCACCGAGACGAGCCUUUAAGGCGAAGUCACUGAUACCACGCUUCCAGGAAAAGCUCCUAAGCUUCAGCUUACGCAGACCGUACCGUAAACCGACACAGGUGGGUAGGAUGAGAAUUCUCAGGCGCUUGAGAGAACUCGGGUGAAGGAACUAGGCAACAUGGCACCGUAACUUCGGGAGAAGGUGCACCCUUUUUGGUGGCUCGUGCGAGCUAUAGCUGAAGAGGGUCGCAGUAACCAGGCCGCUGCGACUGUUUAUCAAAAACACAGCACUCUGCAAACACGAAAGUGGACGUAUAGGGUGUGACGCCUGCCCGGUGCUGGAAGGUUAAUUGAUGGGGUCAGCCGCAAGGCGAAGCUCUUGAUCGAAGCCCCAGUAAACGGCGGCCGUAACUAUAACGGUCCUAAGGUAGCGAAAUUCCUUGUCGGGUAAGUUCCGACCUGCACGAAUGGCGUAACGACAGCGGCGCUGUCUCCACCCGAGACUCAGUGAAAUUGAAAUCGCUGUGAAGAUGCAGCGUUCCCGUGGCAAGACGGAAAGACCCCGUGAACCUUUACUAUAGCUUUACACUGAACGUUGAGUUCGUCUGUGUAGGAUAGGUGGGAGGCUAUGAAACUGUGGCGCUAGCUGCAGUGGAGCCAUCCUUGAAAUACCACCCUGUCGUGCUUGACGUUCUAACCUGGGCCCAUUAUCUGGGUCGGGGACCGUGUAUGGUGGGUAGUUUGACUGGGGCGGUCUCCUCCUAAAGAGUAACGGAGGAGCUCGAAGGUACGCUCAGCGCGGUCGGACAUCGCGCACUGUGUGCAAAGGCAUAAGCGUGCUUGACUGCAAGAUCGACGGAUCAAGCAGGUAGGAAACUAGGACUUAGUGAUCCGGUGGUUCUGUAUGGAAGGGCCAUCGCUCAACGGAUAAAAGGUACUCCGGGGAUAACAGGCUGAUACCGCCCAAGAGUUCAUAUCGACGGCGGUGUUUGGCACCUCGAUGUCGGCUCAUCACAUCCUGGGGCUGUAGUCGGUCCCAAGGGUAUGGCUGUUCGCCAUUUAAAGUGGUACGCGAGCUGGGUUCAGAACGUCGUGAGACAGUUCGGUCCCUAUCUGCCAUGGGCGUUGGAGAUUUGAGAGGGGCUGCUCCUAGUACGAGAGGACCGGAGUGGACGAACCUCUGGUGUUCCGGUUGUCACGCCAGUGGCAUUGCCGGGUAGCUAUGUUCGGAAGCGAUAACCGCUGAAAGCAUCUAAGCGGGAAGCGCGCCUCAAGAUGAGAUCUCCCGGGGCACAAGCCCCCUGAAGGAACCAUGUAGACUACGUGGUUGAUAGGUCAGGUGUGUAAGUACAGCAAUGUAUUGAGCUAACUGAUACUAAUGAUCCGAGAGGCUUGACCAUAUAACCU